rnacentral:rRNA from 1 species
AGGGGGACAACAGUUGGAAACGACUGCUAAUACCGCAUACGAUCUAAUCUCGGCAUCGAGGAUGGAUGAAAGGUGGCCUCUACAUGUAAGCUAUCACUGAAGGAGGGGGAUUGCGUCUGAUUAGCUAGUUGGAGGGGUAACGGCCCACCAAGGCGAUGAUCAGUAGCCGGUCUGAGAGGAUGAACGGCCACAUUGGGACUGAGACACGGCCCAG